rnacentral:rRNA from 1 species
CCUACGGGUGGCAGCAGUGGGGAAUAUUGGACAAUGGGGGCAACCCUGAUCCAGCCAUGCCGCGUGUGUGAAGAAGGCCCUCGGGUUGUAAAGCACUUUCAGUGAGGAAGAACGCCUGGUGGUUAAUACCCAUCAGGAAAGACAUCACUCACAGAAGAAGCACCGGCUAACUCCGUGCCAGCAGCCGCGGUAAUACGGAGGGUGCGAGCGUUAAUCGGAAUUACUGGGCGUAAAGCGCGCGUAGGUGGCUUGAUAAGCCGGUUGUGAAAGCCCCGGGCUCAACCUGGGAACGGCAUCCGGAACUGUCAAGCUAGAGUGCAGGAGAGGAAGGUAGAAUUCCCGGUGUAGCGGUGAAAUGCGUAGAGAUCGGGAGGAAUACCAGUGGCGAAGGCGGCCUUCUGGACUGACACUGACACUGAGGUGCGAAAGCGUGGGUAGCAAACAGGAUUAGAUACUCCGGUAGUC